rnacentral:lncRNA from 1 species
UUAUGGCACAUCAGCCAAAAUUUCCACAUACACUUCCUUGUACCUCAGCCUUUCAGAAUAAGAAUCUGUACUCCUAAUGCCCCCAAAUCCAGUAAUUUUUAGACCAUUUAUUGGAAAAAAAAAAAAAAAAAAAAAAAAAAAAGAACAACCAAUGAACACUAAACUAACAAAAAUGAACACAACCACAGAACAAAGGCUAAUCUCAUAAGGAAGACCUGAUUGCUGAUCAGAAAAACACUGUAGGAAACUGAACUUCCACUGCUUGUUCCAGAUUAGUGUAUGCACAUAGCUUUUAUUGCAGCACAAAAAUUGUAAUUAAGGACCCAUGCCCUACCUGCGAAUCAUGGGGAGACAGCUUCCCUAAAUAUUCACUAUGGAAAAGGAGUUGUUGGGCACUUAGUACAUGCCACUCUUUUUUACCAAGGAACAAUUGUUCAGUGUUGAUGCUGGACUUUCUGGAAGUAUCUUAUCUUCUUUAAAGAACACAAUGAUUAUGUUUGGGGAACUUAUUUAUUUCAGUCCCACUGGCAUUUAGACUAAAUGAUCUUGGUGGUCUUUUCCAACCUUAAUGAUUCUAUGAUUCUACAAUUUUACUAAAGAGGGCUGCUUUGUAUACUCAGUUCAGAGACUUUCAGGCAGACUGCUUUGCUGACUGCAGUCUUUUUCCCUCUUUUCAUGCAUCCUGCAGGACAUCUACAGAACUCUCAGUGACCACAGCAAGAGUGAGAUGUCUCUGGUUGGCAGAUCUGCUAGUUCACUUAACCCCUCUGAGCUGCUGCAAUGUGUGAUCAUUUUGAAGACUGACAGCCCUGUAGUGUCAUUAGCCAUUACCUCACCUGCACAACUACAGUGUCUGAUUCCUGCACUGAUUUUUCAACCAUAAAUACAGCUGCUAGAUUUGGGCUUUGGGAAAAUUCAGAACUUGGAUCAGAACUUUUUGUUUUCUGAAUGUAGUUGAUAGAAAACUGGGAAAAAAUAGUAUAGCUUUUAUAAGGAUGACUUUCUUCAUUACAGCUUUCUGCACUUUGCUUUGCACUUACAUAGUAGUCAGUCUAUCUGAAAGACUGCAAAAGGAAUGGUUUAAAAAUGGUUUUAAAGCAAUAAUUGUGCAUUAUUAAUUUGAAAUCGAUUGUCAUUCAGAACUCUUAACUAAAUUCCCUUUCUGUGCCAUGUGAUGACAUCAUGUGCCUGAAUAAUUUUAGAAUCUGGAUGAUCUGGUGCCAGAGAUCUGCUAAAGAUCAAUUUUUAAAUACCUAAGUGGUUUUCAAUCUGGACACUCCUGAUUUCCAGUUUUCUUCCCUUCUCUUCCUCUCCUUUCAGUUGCACUGUAUUAACAUUUGGGUUCAGCUCCAUACUAGAUUUUAAAUCUCAUUUAGUUUUUCUUUUGUCCAGUCACUUCCAUCUAAGUUCC